GCUGCUCUUUCUCCAGGGUACCAGAAGCCUCUAUCCCUGCUUCACCAUACAGCUCCACCCACCUCACGGCUACCGUAUUGGACCGGCACAGCAUGAGGCUGUACUGCCUUGCGAUGGAUGCCGUAACACUACAUUUUGGACAGCACGCAGAUGAGGAAGCAGGUGAUUCUCCAAACCCUCACGGUGACUAAGCCAGACUGUCGGGACUCCAGCUUGCUGCGCCUGGCUUUCCACCAGGCUUCAGUGCUACCUACCAACACUUUCUCUGAGGGACGUAGAGAGGCUGGGACCUUUGAGGUCCAGGACGAGAGCAGAAGAGGCAGCGAGUGGGACCCCUGCAAGGACAGGUCCUGCGUGUUCUGCCCGAGAAACCCAAGUGAGGGAGAGAGCUCCACAGCCAACAGGUUACUUUUCAUAGUAGAACUAUGAGGUUGAACC
rnacentral:lncRNA from 1 species